rnacentral:lncRNA from 1 species
GCACACUCACAAAUCUACAAAAUACCGGCUUUCGGCAUUUCAGCUUUUCGACUUUUGCCGAUCCAGACUAAGAAAGAGGGUGUUAGUUACACACCUGUUUGCGACGAAAUGCUGAAAAGAUCCACACACGAACCGCCUACAAUUGGAUUAUUAACACGUUAAUCUAACUAUUCAAAUACAAACUACGUAUUAACCCCUUACAAUAUUCGGCCAACCACACCUACAGAUCAUAGUAAGCUUAUAAGAAAUCAAUAAGUAACUCAUUAACAAAUUUUUGUCAAUGUUUACCACAUAAUCAUAAUUUCACUGCAAGCUGUCUUCCUGAGCAACAGUCACUAAAUAAUUUAUAAAUGGAGAUACGAAACUCCAAAUCAAGUGCCGUUAAUUUUCCCUGAAAAUAGACUCAUAUAUCUUAUAUCCAUAAAAUUUUCAGAAUUUUUGGUUUGGCCAAUCAAUACCAGCUUUUUCUCAAAGUUUCGCAUGUUUCACUGUUUGACUAAUCUGACCACUCUUCAUUACGAAUCAAAAUUCUCAUUGUACAGAAUUCAAAAUAUGUUCUCGUUUAUUCCAUUUGAAACUAGACUCAUUAAGAUUUAAUUACAUAAUUUAUGCAGCUUCUAACUCAUCUCCCACAACUUAUGGUGAUUUUCCAACGUCACGUUACCGCUGCUGUCCCAAGCAGAUUUAUUACCAAAUCACUCUUUCACACAUAACUUGCAUGCAUGUUUUUUUUUAAACAUGUAUAUCACCAAUCAAUCAUCACAUAUCUAUGAUUUUACUUAAGUAUAAUCUCCAUUUCAUCAUUUUAAAGCACAACAUAUUAGCCGAUUUUUCCCCUUAGCAUCUAAGGCACAUGCAUGCUCAUUUGUUUGGCUCAACUUCACCUAUCUUCCAUUUUUCAUCAAAAGAACAUGAAACAACAACCAUUUCCUUCAUUUUAAUUCAUGACUAAAUGCUCACAACACAACUAAAAACCAAAAUAUGCUUCAAGAGUUAAGGUAGAAUCAAGAAGAACUCAUGAACAUCAAGAUAGAAGCAAACUACCAUGAACUUACCUUCAAUUUUCUUCCCCAAGUGACCGAACAUUCAAGAGCUUUCUCCUCUCCUUUCUCUUCUCUAACUUUCGG